ACCCCGCAAUAAUUCUGUACUUCGGUACAGAAGCAUGCCGAGGCUGAGUCGUCUCAUACCUUUCCCCAUGGCGGCAUCCAAUCCCGAUUCGAGUUCCUACCAUGGGAAGCUAGGGUUAGGAGACGAUGCUUCCCUCCAGCAGGACCCCCUCGUUCCGCUCUGGGCCAGCAAGCGGCUAAAUCCUCUCUGGUGAUUGUCCCGCCAGCAGUGACAGUCCUCCUCCGAGCGUUUCGUGGUGGGCCUGCGGUCAGCGAGCGGCGCAGCUGAUUCCUCUCCGGCGAUUGUCUGGCCAACCGUGCCAGUACUCGUCCAAGCGUUCCCCAACGGCGUCGUGCUGGAUCUAGGUCCCCAGAUUGGGCUAUAGAUUUGCAAAGCAAAUAGACGAGGGGACAAGGUCGUAGCUAAUUGGGUUGUCUCCUCUAGGAUCAGCACAUCCUUUGAAGGAAGUAGGAGAGGGGACGAAGUAGUGGCAUAUUGUCAGCAGAUGCAGAUGUUGGUCUUGAAGAAAUUGGGAAGGUAUAAUUUAUUUUCUCCUAAUUAAGUGUUAUAUACGUCUAUGACUAUAUGUGCCUAGAGUGUGUGCUCUGUGCGACCGUGGUCUAAUGAAAAGUGAUAUAUGUCUAUGAACUGCUACUACUACUGCCUAGAUGGAAUUUAGAUGAUGAUAAGUAUGUAAAUUUAGAAAGCUCGAGUGGUGUCUAGGGCUUGUACAUGCUUCUGCAAAUUUGCUAGAUUAAUUUAUGUGUGUGUGCUACUGCUAGUAGUGUGAUUGACAGCGAGAAAAAGAAUGUGUGCCAUUGGUACUAAUCCUAUUGACAGUGAACUGGUACUGCUAGUGCCAUCUUUACAUCAUUUUUUGGCUGAAAACAUUCAUGUGUAGUCAUAGAUGAUUAACUUACAACCCAAUCGUUUCAUUUAAGUCAACAUGUGGAAUAGAUGAUUGAACUUAUAUAAUCAGCAAAUUAUAUAUGAAACUCAUUUAAAUACAUUGUUUAAACUAUUGAAAACAGUAAUUUCAGUUAAAAUUCUGUGUAGAGUAGCCAUCUGCAGCAAAGACACAAUCGAGUCAUUUAGAGUUACAAAACCUCCAACCGUGAAACUUGCAGCCCAAACAAACACACCCUUAAUGCAGCAACAAGGAACUCUUAUGGCGAUAGAAUUGUGUGUAGUACGAUGGGAAAUAAGAAAGAUGUUGGAACUGGUUGAACAUAGAAAAUUGCAGAAAUGAUGUUUGCCAUCAGGUUUAGUUUCUAUUGCUAUUGAUUAGUGAAGUGAGCUGAGAUUAGCUAUUGCAAUUAAUUUCUAUUGCCUGGACGAUUCAACUCUUCUUUCAGGUUGCUUGGUGGCAAGAUUUCUGCAAGUUAUUAGGACUAAUAGUACUGCAUUGGUUUUUUCUUCUCCUAGUGUACUAGAACUAGGUGUUGAAUGACUAAUGUACAAAUCCGCAAAUUUGCCAUCACUGUUAAUUACUGUUUUCGGACCAUUAUCUUAACUGAUGUACUUAUGUAUUGAAGUGAUGCAUUAUUGAAUUUGACUGACUCA